rnacentral:rRNA from 1 species
GAUACCCUAUUAUUAAAAGUGUAAAAUUAAAAACUAAGUUAGUAUUAGUUAAGAUCUUGAAAAUUAAAAAUUUUGGCGGUAUUUUAGUCUAUUUAGAGGAACCUGUUAUGUAAUUGAUAGUCCACGAUUUAUUCUACUUUUAUUAAAAUUUAUAUAUCGUUGUUAAGGAAUAUUUUUUAAGAAGACUAAUAUUAACAAUUUAUAUAAUAAAAAGAAUCAAAUCAAGAUGUAGUUUAUAUAAAAGAAUAAAUGGGUUACAAUUCAAUAAUGAAGAUGAAUAAUUAAUUUAAAUUUAAUUUGAAGGUGGAUUUAAGAGUAAUUUUUUAUAGAUUUAAGAAAUGAUUUUAGCUCUAAAAUAUGUACACAUCGCC